rnacentral:lncRNA from 10 species
CCGUCCACACUUGUCUGCUGCUGUUCCUCACCUCUCCAGUGAGCGUGGAGUUCCAUGGUCUCAGGUGACAGCCAUCACACCCACUCUGAAUUUCCUGACAGGCAUAAUAGAAUUGAAGACACAGUGGAUAACGACAGAGCCUCGUGUACUGCUAACAGGAUUAAGGAUGUUUUUCUGUGGCUGAACUGAAGCAUCUGUCCUCAGGGCUGGAGGCUGGGUAUCACCACAGCUGACCUCCUCUCCAUGGCUCUUGCUGCUGCUAAUCCUCCAAGAUGAAUCUGAAAGAGAAAACAACUGCUUAGUUGCUACAAAUCAUAGGAAGACUCUGGUGAGAAAAUCUCCAUAAAAGACUUCGGAAAAGAUAUGUGUCUUAAGGCAGAACUUGAGGAAAAGCAGGAGACUUGGCACAGAAGCCGCAGAAGGCUUUUUCCAUGUGUAGGAACUUGCAAGGAUGGCAGGAGGCUACAGAGAGCAGACUUGAAACCCUGUGAAAAGAAGAAAUAAGCAAAGCAAGAGGAUAAGCCCUGGGAGAACAGCGUGCUUCCCAGUGUCUGCCUCGUCCUGCACAGUAAGAGCCAGGUCAACUUCAGGAAAUAAGCAAGGCCUCUAAAAGGAAGCACGACCAGAAAAUACAGCACAACUAGGAGCAUAUGGAAGGGAUCCAAGAAGUGGAGACCAUCAUUCGGUAAUAGAAUCUGCUUUGGAGAUGAGAGAGCCUAGAAGGAUGCCCAAUGCCCAGAAUAAAUUACCAGAAAUAGAGCUUGGCUCGGUACAUCACAUGUCCUCAGACCAAGAACAACUAUGCUGGAGAAGCUGUAUUUCCUUCACCAUCACUGAGGAGCCUCAUCUGCACCUGGAAUGAAUUAAGAUAUCAAUGUCCUAUUUUGACUGCAUGCUGUUUAGAAAUGAGAUUUUGAGAAGUCUUAGGAUAGGGUGAGUGUAUUUUUGUAUGUGGAAGGGAAUAUAAAUAAUUUUGGGUCAGUGGGCAAACAGAGGGGUUUUCAAUAAUUCUUUGACACCCCUCCCUUCUGUGGAGCUAAUUCCCCUCCGCUUGAGUGAGUCACCCGGUGACUCAUUACUAAGGAAUAGAAUGUGGCAUAAAUGAUAGAGCAUGACUUCUUUCUUUCUUUCUUUCUUUCUUUCUUUCUUUCUUUCUUUUUUUGAGACAGGGUCUCACUCUGUGGCCCAGACUGGAGUGCCAUGGUGCAAGCACAGCUCACUCGGCUUCAACCUCCUGGGCUCAAGCGAUCCUCUCACCUCAGCCUCCCAAGCAGCUGGGAUUACAGGCACACACCACCAUAUCCAGACAAUUUUUGUAUUUUCUGUAGAAACAGGAGUUUCACAGUGUUGACCAGGAUGGUCUUGACUCCUGGACUCAAGUGAUCCUGCCACUCCAGCCUCCCAAAGUCCUGGGAUUACAGAUAUGAGCCACCAGGCCCAGCCUGACAGAACAUGACUUCUGAGGGUAGGUCAUAAAAGACAUUGUGACUUCCAGUUUGCUCUUUGAUCACUUGUCUAAAGGAAGUCAGCUGCCAUGUCUCAAUGACACUCAAGUGGCCCUAUGGAGGGGCCCAAAACAGCAUCCUCCCACCAAUAGCCAUCGAGGAACUGAGGAACUGAGGCCCUUUGCUAAUAGCCAUGAGUGCACCAUCAUGAAGUAGAUCUCCUGCCCCUGUCAAGCCUUCAGAUGACUGCAGCCCCAGCUGACUGCUCAACUGCAACCUCAUGAGAAACCCUCAGCUAGGACAACCCAGCUAAGCUAUUCUCAAAUUCCACAGAAACUGUGAAAUAAUACAUGCUUAUGUUUUAAGCAAUUAAGCUUUGGUUAAUUUGUUACACAGUAAUAGAUAACUAAUACAGCUGGCUUAUCAGGCAUGUGUAGUUUAAGACUUUUCAUACAGAUUGCAAAAUUGCCUUCCUGAAAUGUUAUGCCAAUUUACACUCCCACGAAGAGUUGCAUAAGAGUGCUCAUGUUCUCAGUCCUUCCUCUUGUUAAGUGCUACAUUUUUAAUUUAUUCUUUCUGAUAUUCUUUAUUCUUUCUGAUAGAAAAUGGUAUCUUAUUACUCUGAUUUAUAUAGUUUUAAAGUUCAAUGAGGUUGAACGUUUUUCAUAUAUUUAUUAUCUGUUUUGUGACUCUCAAUCAAAUGCUGUGUGUGUGUGUAUAUAUAUAUAUUAAAUUGUAGUGUUAAUUUUUUUCAUUCCUUGAUUCCUAAGGUCUAUUUGGCUUUUAACAUCUUAUAUCUACCUGUUACUAUGUUGCAAGUAUUUCUCCUAGCUUGCCACAUAGAUAUCCUUAUGUGGGGGACAUGAAGAUGUACUGCCUGCAACCCUUUCAAGGAAGAUUUGUGGCAGCUGUCUCUUGCCUCAGUUGCAGAGAGCUGCCUUGCCCAAGAGUAUGCUCUUCCUGUGACCCAUAUCCAUUGAUCAAUUGUUGUAGGGUAUAAAGGUCCAGCCAUUUCAGCCCACCAUGGUCCUGCUCUGGCAAGCCAUUGACACUCCCGAGCUCUCCACAGGGUAGCAUUGCUGAGCUGCAUUGUAGUUCGACCACUCCCCUAAAGAAACCCUGCUUCCUUCGUCUCCUUUCCAUAGGUGUCGAUCUCUAACAAACACGGUGCCCAUCAAAUUUCAACCUAGCAUCUUUUUCUAGAAUACUUAACCUGUGACAUCCUGGAAAUUAAUUCCUCAACUUGUAAUUGAUAUAAUAUCUAUAUACCUCUACACAUAAAUGUAUUACUCUUAAAAAUAAUUUAUUAUGUUUUUUCAUAGGGGAAACUGGUUCUUUUAUAGAAUGAUUAUUGGAAUAAAAACACAAAAAGUUGAGUGUUAUUUAAAAACACAAAGUCUUUCCCUAUCAGCUACUAUGCAAAUCCAUUAUCUAUAUUACAUUUCUUCAAAUAAAAUCACUUCCUUACCCUGCGAUAUCUCCCCUGUCACUUACUAUCCCCUUUAUCUUGUUUUUUUUUCUUCACAGCAUUUUAUUUGAGUAUCUUUUACAUCUGUAUCUGCCUCCCCAGCACCUAGAAUGGAACAUGGCAUAUAAUGUGUUCAAUAAAUAUUGAUUGAAUGGAUAGAUGAGUAGAUCAAUAAAGGAGUAAGUGACA